CGGACGGGUGAGUAACACGUGGAUAACCUACCUAUAAGACUGGGAUAACUUCGGGAAACCGGAGCUAAUACCGGAUAACAUGUUGAACCGCAUGGUUCAACAGUGAAAGACGGUCUUGCUGUCACUUAUAUAUUGAUCCGCGCCGCAUUAGCUAGUUGGUAAGGUAACGGCUUACCAAGGCAACGAUGCGUAGCCGACCUGAGAGGGUGAUCGGCCACACUGGAACUGAGACACGGUCCAG
rnacentral:rRNA from 1 species